AGAGUUUGAUCCUGGCUCAGAAUGAACGCUGGCGGCGUGCCUAACACAUGCAAGUCGAGCGGGAAAGUCCUUCGGGAUGAGUACAGCGGCAGACGGGUGAGAAACGCGUGAGAAUUUACCAUUCAGUGAGGAAUACCCUCGAGAAAUCGAGGUUAAUACUGCAUACGUCCUACGGGAGAAAGGUGGCCUCUUGCUGCCGCUGAAUGAUUAGCUUGCGUACUAUUAGCUAGUUGGUAGGGUAAAGGCCUACCAAGGCGAUGAUGGUUAGCCGGCCUGAGAGGGUGUACGGCCACACUGGAACUUAGAUACGGUCCAGACUCCUACGGGAGGCAGCAGUGGGGAAUAUUGCGCAAUGGGCGAAAGCCUGACGCAGCGACGCCGCGUGGAGGAUGAAGGUCUUCGGAUCGUAAA
rnacentral:rRNA from 1 species